CACCCCCAUGGCCUACCUGGAAACCUAGCAUCCCUUCACUACCCUCUGCACCCCCACCCUGCAGUGCCCCACCCCAAACCAGACGGGGCUCCUCCCCCCACCACACACUGGUCCAGGGAGCGCCACAUGAACUGGCUGGGCUGGAAGGAGGCUGGUGAAAUGCCAACUUCCCGGCUUGCCCGGGCACUUUCGCAGGCAAGGAAAGAGGAUCCCAACGCUCCAAAUCAAAGCAGCUUUCAGGACAGAGAACGCGGCCCUGUGUGGUCAGCAUUUCUGAACUACGCUGCCUUUUCAACCUGCCAGGGGUCCGAGAGAAGCAGCCUGCCCCACGAACAGCCACGUGCCCUCACCGCUCCCGCUUUACAGUGUGGGCUCUGGGUUCCAACCGCUUCAGCGGGGCUCCAGCCUGAGCGCGGGGGCAGCAUCAGGCCAGACCCAGGGCGAGGCUCCUUGAAAUUCACAGACGGAGGAAGGAGAGGCAGCUGGAUCAAGGACCUGGCUUAUCCUGUGAAGAAAGGAUGGGGAGGGGACGCCGGCAAUAGAGAGACGUGAGUAGGAGACCUCAGCUGGACUGGAUUCAAACGAAACCAACUUGACAACAUGCACGUGGCAACCGAGAAAUCUGAUGAUGGUAACACGGGCCACUUUGUUUCUUACGUAUUAGUUACUAUUGUAGUUAUGUUAGAUUUUCUUAAAGAGCAUUUUCAGAGACUUGUGAAGUAUUUAUCUAUAAAUGACAGGACAUCUGGGAUUUGCUUCCAAAUAAUCCAGGGGUGGGGAAGGGUCUGUGGGGUGUGAACACCUCAACAUGAGUCUGGUGAGAGCUCACCGCUGAGGCUGGGGUCGGGGUGGGGGCAUGUGGGUUUUAUUUUUUAUUUUUUUGCGGUACAAGGGCCUCUCACUGUUGUGGCCUCUCCCGUUGCGGAGCACAGGCUCUGCGGCACAUGGGAUCUUCCCGGACCGGGGCACGAACCCGUGUCCCCUGCAUCGGCAGGCGGACUCUCAACCACUGCGCCACCAGGGAAGCCCUGUUGUUUUUUAAAGUAACAGCUUUGUUGAGAUAUAGUGGUUAUCAGGUUACAGAGCUGUGCAACUAUCACCAAGACCUAGAAUUCUACUUUUUAUCUGCUUGAAAUGCUCCACAGUUCUCCUUGCUUCAUGGCUAGGGUGCCAGAGGCGUUGAUGUCUGAAUGAACUGCCCAGGGCAUCUGUCCUGUCCCCUGGCUGGGGCAGCAGGAGCCCUGGGGCAGCUUCCACCUGUCCUGGGACAUCAAAAGGCCCAGGAUGGUACUCUCACCAGCUCCUGCCCUAGCCUGCCUGUCUGAGGGCCUGCAGCCCAUAGAACCAGGGUCUCCCAGGCCCUUCUGGGUUUGCUGGACAAUAGGCCAGUGUCCAAAACCCCAGGGCUCUGACUCAAGGGGCACCUCUAGGGAGACCAGCCAGUCCUACUGGGAAAUCUUAUUCCUAGGGGGUUUGUAGCACCAGAUGCUUGCUGGGAAGGGGCAGCCCUGUGGGAUCCACAGUGACCUGGAUCCAGGACCUCAACACUGACCACCCCUAGAUGUGCAGGCCCUGCUCUCGCCCCAGCCAUCUGUCCACAGGCCAUCCCAGUGUAUCCAGGCAGGGCUGCAGCUUCUCCCCUCCUCUGGGCCCUACUCCUCCAUAAACCCAAGAGCCCUCCUUGGAGGGUGCAGAGGAUGGUCUUGUAGCCUGAGACAGCGAGGCAGACUAGUUAGUGGCCUGGACACAGAAACCAGACCCAGCACUUCACCGUCCUUUAUUAACACCCCUGUAGGGCGACGUGGAAGUGCUGGCCACUUGCUGGGGGGGCGGGGGGUGUGGCACAGUGGCCAGGUGACUGGGGGAGGUGGACAGAUGCAGCUCCCAGCCCAUCUGCAGGCUGCUGUGGCAGUGGAACCUGGGCAGUGGCGUUUUGGCUGACCAGCUGCUGGGGACCUUGCAAGUGACCGCUGUGUAGACAGGAGCCCCUGUGGACAUGCCACUCCUGCUCAGGGAGCCAGGAGGGGACACUGCACGCUCCAUGAAGACAGCAGCCGCCUGCUGGCACUGAGAGGUUUUGGUGAAACUGAUUGUUAAAGCAAUUGGGGAUGCGCUGGACCGGGGGGGCAGGGGUGUGGGGCACCUGUGGGUCACACCCAGACCCUCCCUCCUGGGUACUCAUUCUGCCCUGGCCCGGCAGCUGUGGGUGCGCAGCUACCUUUGAGAACAUCAUAAAAGCUAUGGUCCCUCUCCUGGGAUGAAAGUGCAGGUGCACGGGUCAUUUGGUGAGCGAUGCCGGGGGUCCACACCCCCACUCUAUCACCCAGGUCCUCGGUGGAAGCUGCUGGAAGACAGUGCUGGGGGCCCUGGGCUUAGUGAAAGGAAGAGACUACAGGGGCUGGAGACUCCAGACUGCAGAAAGCCUGGACAGCCUGCCCCUCCCAACUCCAGGGUUAACUGCCUACUUGGGGAGAGAGAAAACUGAACCUGGGGCUUAGACACCUUCCUCUGAGGGAGUCACUGGUGUGCAGAGGAGGCCGCUGGACAUCAGGUGGGGAGAGCCUGGGGUGGGCAGCAGGGGGUGGAGGUGUGGGCAGCAGCUCAGGAGGGGACGAUGGUUACUGGGCUGGCCAGGCAGGCUGGGGCGGGGGUCCUGAGCCAGGGAGGAGGGGGUCGGAGCACGGCGGGCAGGUGCUGGGCUCAGGGCAGCGCUCAGCUGCUGACCCUCCAGGACUCUGGAAAAUACUGGGGCAGGGGGCUGGGCAUGACCCAUCUGCUCCCACGGCCACAUCAGGACGGCACUUUGAUGCCGAAGUGUUUGCGAAGCUGCUCCAGAAACACAAACGUGAGUACGGUGUGGGGCAUGAGGCGGAUGCCGGCAGGCACGAGGCCCUGAGGGAGAGAGGAGGGGGGAUGUGAAGAUAGCCCUGGAGGGAACCCCCCUGCCCUGCCCCCCUGCCCCAGCCACGCCCCUGCUUAACCUUGUAAAAGGCCAGCGGCCCAAGCUUCGCUGUCUCCAUGGCACAGUGCAGAACACCCUGCAAAAAAUGCAAGAUAAUGCAAUAAGAUGGAAAGCUGCUUCUUGAAAGGCACGAACGCCCACCCCCCACCCCCGCACCUGAUGGCAGGCAUGAGUGUGCAAAGCAGCCUGCAAGUUCAAAGGGAACACAGGUUCGAGCCCUGGUCUGGGAAGAUCCCACGUGCUGCAGAGGAACUAAGUCCGUGCGCCACAACUACUGAGCCUGCGCUCUAGAGCCCACGUGCCAACUCCUGAAGCCUGCACGCCUAGAGCCCGUGCUCUGCAAGAAGAGAAGCCACCGCAGUGAGAAGCCCGCGCACCGGAACGAAAAGUAGCCCCCGGCUCGCCACAACUAGAGAAAGCCCGCGCGCAGCAACGAUGGACCCAACACAGCCAAAGAUAAAUAAAUAAA